rnacentral:rRNA from 1 species
CCUACGGGGGGCAGCAGUGAGGGAUAUUGGUCAAUGGGGGAAACCCUGAACCAGCAACGCCGCGUGAGGGAAGACGGUUUUCGGAUUGUAAACCUCUGUCCUCUGUGAAGAUAAUGACGGUAGCAGAGGAGGAAGCUCCGGCUAACUACGUGCCAGCAGCCGCGGUAAUACGUAGGGAGCGAGCGUUGUCCGGAUUUACUGGGUGUAAAGGGUGCGUAGGCGGCCCUGCAAGUCAGAAGUGAAAUCCAUGGGCUUAACCCGUGAACUGCUUUUGAAACUGCAGGACUUGAGUGGAGUAGAGGUAGGCGGAAUUCCCGGUGUAGCGGUGAAAUGCGUAGAGAUCGGGAGGAACACCAGUGGCGAAGGCGGCCUGCUGGACUGUGACUGACGUUGAGGCCCGAAGGCGUGGGGAGCAAACAGGAUUAGAUACCCCGGUAGUC